rnacentral:lncRNA from 1 species
GCAAAAACUUGUUCUCUGUUAAGGUGACAUAUCAAAGUUUGGUAUGUCAUGUGUAACAUAAAUGUCAUUCUCUUCCUGUUAGAUUUGUAUGUUGUUUGAUAAUGCAUAAACCCAGUCAAUCGCAAACCUUGCAUGUCAUAAGUAUUGAGACCCCUGCUUACCAAAAUCACCACCAUUGUCCAUGGUAGAGGAGACCGGGGACCAAGUGGGGGAUAGUACCCAUUGUUAGAAAACCAGAAAAUUCAGCAAUUCUAAUAACUUCAACAGGCAUUGCUCUUCCUGCCUUGCUUCUCAUGUUCGUUUUUUCUAGACUGGAAAGAGUUUAAUAAUGCUUACCAAAGAACAUUAUUUUCGGUCAGAAAGUGCAGUAAAUUACUCAUUGCUUGUUGUUCGAUGCUACCUACCAAUUUUACCGUCCUUAUCACUGUUAUAUAUGCCUAGCAUUUCACUGUAAUUCAUAUCCGAGUUGAACUCUCAGUUUCUUUCGUACGAGUAGUUUCCUUUAUUCAUAAUUUUUUUGGGUCUCCAUUGAUUGCUUGAGUUAUCUUUCGUGAGUUGUAAUCCAUUGCCAGAUUUUUACCUUUUCCUUUCUUCUCUGUCUUUUUUCAUUUUUUUUCGUCCUUUUUUUCAUUAUUUACUGCAGAAUUUUCCUCGAUGUUAUUUUUUUCGGGGAAAGUGAAUUUUCAUUCAUCCGCUGUCUCAUCAGUAUUUCUUGUAUUUGCAGUGCAUCUCCUUUUCUAUAAUGCGUUUUUUUUCUUAUAUGAUUAGGGAUGGACCAAGAUCAUACCAGUCAGCGUGCAACUUGCAAUGGCUUCUUGAGGAGACGUGGAGCGGAUAAAACGUAUGGAAUAAAGCUGGUUCGAGGUAAACUCUUUUUUCCUCUCAUCCACAUCGUAAUAAUAAUUUCUUUUAUAUUAUUAUUCAGAUGUUAUAUGGGACAGUUCUUGCGUAGAUGUCUUUAUUCUCGAAGCAAAUAAAAAAGGAUAAAUUAGAUUCUUGUUAUAUUUUAUUCUGUCUUAUUCUUUGAAAUCAACAUGUAUAUAAAUUUAUAUAUUGUUAACCAAGCCAUAUAUAAAUUGGUUUCAUACCAUCUCAAACCCAGCCGAACUGAGAAUUUUUAAAACUCGUGGGCUUGUGUGCUGACAAAAUAUCAUGCCCCUGUUGUCGAAGAACAAGAGAAAGAAAGAAAAGGCUGCAAUGACUUGUACUUGCUAAAUUUGAAAAAGAAGGAAAGCUACGGCUAUGAUGAAAUAACCCUUAAAAAAGAUGCUAUUGCUAUUAUAAUAAUAAUGAAUGACGCUCGUUGGAUUUUCCGAUACUCCAGGACUCUAUACACUUGAAAAGUAGAUAAAUUGGCCUUGAUCGGUAAACUAGCAUAUCUGUUGUUAUCGUGAUGGAUAUGUUGUCCUUGCCACCAUCAUAUGGAAUUUUUAUAUUGGCAUAUUAAAUACCACACGACACAUUACGAGCCUUGUGGUGGAGAAACCAUUUCGAAGAAAUUUGAAUUUUUUUUUAAGGUUAGGCCUCCCCUUUCAUUCUACCUCCACCGGAACAAGGCUUUUUUUUUUGCAAAUAAAUUACCUCCACUUGCUCAAGACAUGGUUCUUAACCACACCUUUAAUCUACAGGCCAAAGAUAAGUUGUUUAGCCUCCAAGACUAUCUUCUUCUUAACUAUGAUAUGUCUUUUUUUUGUUUUCUUUGAUUAGUAUAAAAAAAUAAGUUUUCUUUUAAAUAUAUUAUUUUGAUAUAUUUUUAAAUAAAAAAUAUUUUGAAAAACAAUUAUUACAGUAAUAAAAACAGACUCUAUAACCUUUUUUUUGUUAACAGUGGGUGUCCGGGCCAGCUUACGCGCACCUCGACUAAUCCUUCAAGACCCUGAAAUUAACGACUAUAUAAACCUUUAGUAGCCCUGAGG